CACAGGCGCCGCGCCCCUGCGCUCGUCUACAAGCUCGACUUCGCCAAGGCUUUCGAUUCAGUAGACUGGGGUGCGCUGCGCCGAAUCCUCGAGGUGCGAGGGUUCCUUGACCAAUGGUGCUCUUGGCUGGAUUCGAUCUGCCGGUCCUCCCGAUCGGCGGUGCUCCUAAACGGCGUGCCUGGGAAAUGGUUCACAGUGCGCCGGGGGCUGCGACAGGGGGACCCGUGCUCGCCCUACCUCUUCCUCAUCGUCGCCGACGUGCUGCAGCAGAUGAUC
rnacentral:rRNA from 1 species